UACGGGGGGAGCAAGCGUUGUUCGGAAUUAUUGGGCGUAAAGGGCGCGUAGGCGGUGUGGUAAGUCUGUUGUGAAACCUCCAGGCUCAACUUGGAGCUUGCAUCAGAAACUGCCGUGCUAGAGUGUGGGAGAGGAGAGUGGAAUUCCUGGUGUAGCGGUGAAAUGCGUAGAUAUCAGGAGGAACACCGGUGGCGAAAGCGGCUCUCUGGACCACAACUGACGCUGAGGCGCGAAAGCUAGGGGAG
rnacentral:rRNA from 1 species